rnacentral:rRNA from 1 species
AACAGCUCAAAUUUGAAAUCUGGCGCAAGCCCGAGUUGUAAUUUGUAGAGGAUGCUUCUGGGCAGCGGCCGGUCUAAGUUCCUUGGAACAGGACGUCAUAGAGGGUGAGAAUCCCGUAUGUGACCGGCUGGCACCCUCCACGUAGCUCCUUCGACGAGUCGAGUUGUUUGGGAAUGCAGCUCUAAAUGGGAGGUAAAUUUCUUCUAAAGCUAAAUACCGGCCAGAGACCGAUAGCGCACAAGUAGAGUGAUCGAAAGAUGAAAAGCACUUUGGAAAGAGAGUUAAAAAGCACGUGAAAUUGUUGAAAGGGAAGCGCUUGCAACCAGACUUGUCGGCGGUGUUCCGCCGGUCUUCUGACCGGUCUACUCGCCGUCGACAGGCCAGCAUCAUCUGGGGCCGCCGGAUAAAGGCUCGGGGAAUGUAGCUCACCUUCGGGCGAGUGUUAUAGCCCCUUGCACAAUACGGCGCGCCCCGGGUGAGGUCCGCGUUUCGGCAAGGAUGCUGGCGUAAUGGUUGUAAGCGGCCCGUCUUGAAACACGGACCAAGGAGUCGAUUAUCUAUGCGAGUGUUCGGGCGUCAAACCCCUACGCGUAAUGAAAGUGAACGGAGGUGGGAACCCUCACGGGUGCACCAUCGACCGAUCCGGAUGUCUUCGGAUGGAUUUGAGUUAAGAGCAUAGCUAAUCGGACCCGAAAGAUGGUGAACUAUGCCUGAAUAGGGUGAAGCCAGAGGAAACUCUGGUGGAGGCUCGCAGCGGUUCUGACGUGCAAAUCGAUCGUCAAAUUUGGGUAUAGGGGCGAAAGACUAAUCGAACCAUCUAGUANCNGGUNNCUG